CACUCUAGAGAGACUGCCAGGGAUAACCUGGAGGAAGGUGGGGAUGACGUCAAAUCAUCAUGCCCCUUAUGCUUAGGGCUACACACGUGCUACAAUGGGUAGUACAGAGGGUUGCCAAGCCGUAAGGUGGAGCUAAUCCCUUAAAGCUACUCUCAGUUCGGAUUGUAGGCUGAAACUCGCCUACAUGAAGCUGGAGUUACUAGUAAUCGCAGAUCAGAAUGCUGCGGUGAAUGCGUUCCCGGGUCUUGUACACACCGCCCGUCACACCACGGGAGUUGGAGACGCCCGAAGCCGAUUAUCUAACCUUUUGGAAGAAGUCGUCGAAGGGGGAAUCAAUAACUGGGGUGAAGUCGUAACAAGGUAGCCGUAUCGGAAGGUGCGGCUGGAUCACCUCCCUUCUA
rnacentral:rRNA from 1 species